GGGUGUCUGGCUUAUGUUAAAUGAUUACAAACUGACAAGCUCAGCUUUAGGUCUGAUAAAUAUAAUUUUAUAGGGUACUCCAAGAAAAUGAGGAGAUAUUACUUUUACCUGCCUGCUAAACAAAAGAUAUUUGUCAGCCGUAAGGCACAUUUUUUAGAAAAAAAAUUUCUUAAUGAAGGAAUAAGUGCCUCUAAAAUCGAGCUUGACAAAGUUUGACAGAUAGAAAAACUGACACUAAUGAUUGAAUCUGAAUCGAAUUUGAUGAGAUCAAAUUCAGAGCCCAAUGAACAAACAUCUUUAAGGUGAUCCGAUAGACUACCAUGUCAGUUGGACAGAUACUUUGAUUUUCUGAUCUGGGAUGGAGAUCCUGUUGAACUCAAUGAGAAUGAUGAGGAUUCGAUCACUUAUAUAGAUACGAUGCAAAGGUCUAACUCUGAUAAAUGACUUAAAGCCAUGAGAUCUGAGAUGGAGUCCAUGAAGAUCGAUGAUGUAUGGACAUUAGUUGACCCACCUGAAGGGGUUAAACCCAUAGGGUGUAAAUGGGUCUUCAAAAGGAAGAGGGGUGUGAAUGAGAAGAUGGAGAUNNNNNNNNNNNNNNNNNNNNNNNNNNNNNNNNNNNNNNNNNNNNNNNNNNNNNNNNNNNNNNNNNNNNNNNNNNNNNNNNNNNNNNNNNNNNNNNNNNNNNNNNNNNNNNNNNNNNNNNNNNNNNNNNNNNNNAAACCCAUAGGGUGUAAAUGGGUCUUCAAAAGGAAGAGGGGUGUGAAUGAGAAGAUGGAGAUCUAUAAAGUCCGUUUGGUUGUCAAAGAUUAUCGUCAGCAUUAUGGUAUUGACUAUGACAAGAUAUUUCUUCUGUGGCAAUGCUCAAAUCCAUUCAGAUCAUACUUGCGAUAGCAGUAUAUCUAGACUAUGAAGCCUGGCAAAUGAAUGUGAAGACAGCUUUCUUAAAUAGAGAGCUGAAUGAAGAGGUGUGUAUGAUACAGCCUGAGGGUUUCACAUCUACAGAUGAGUCCAAGGUGUGCAAGCUUCAGAGAUCCAUUUAUAGAUUGAAGCAAGCAUCUCAAAGUCGGAACAUACAUUUUGGUAAGGUGAUUAGUGUUAGAUGUUUGUCCUAGAAGUCAAUAUGGCUACACAUUAUAAUAAUUCUAGGACACAAUUUUAUACUUAAUAUAUUGAUAUGAUCAAUAAAAGAGCAAUUUCUUUUUCAUUCAAGUGUGAUGUGUCCUUGAAUCAUCCAUGAAAUUAGUUUCGAUACAUAUUAUCAUGGUGUUAAAAAUCAGAGACAUGUAUUUACUUCCUAAAUACUCCCGAUUAUAGAAUCAUCAUGAGGAUGGUGAUUGAUCCGGAUAGAUUAGCGUAUAAAUUGCUUUUUUUGAGAUAGAUGAGUCUCUGAUCUACUGUGUAGAGAUACAGAAUAAUAAGUGUGGUAGUUGUUAGAGAACCACUAGUAUUAAACGUGACCAUACGAGAGAUCAUUUGGAUUUUUAUUCGAUCGUCAGUGAUUGUCUCGAUGCUAUAGUUGUGUGACUGGUCUUUUGACUUGAGAUGAAUUUAAAAAGUUAAAAUAUAUUAUUAUCGAUUAAAUUAGAAUUGACAGUUAAAUCCUAAGUCACUUUGAGUAUUUGGAUCAAAGGGAUAAAUUAUAUGAUAACCAUAUACCAAUAGGUUCUAGAAGAUUGCUUUGCAAUACUUCGACCUAUCCAAUCGUCGGAUCACUAUUGCUAGAUGGUUACAUCAAUUGGUAUAGAAAGUUAUUCCUAUGCUACUGACUUAGGUUUGAACCUAUGGGAUCACAUGCAUUAGAAGAUUUGAUCAGAUCUGAUGGUUGAAGAGUCCAAUUGGAUUGUGACUCUGGUGAAGAGUCCUACUCAGAUUAAGACUCGAUGGAAGAGUCCCACUGAGAUUGAGACUCUACUAUUAAUAAAAAAUUAAAUAGUAAUUAGAUUAUUAAUUGACUCAAUUUUAUUGAGCAAAGAGCUUGGGAUCAAGUCUAAUUGAAUUAGAUUCAAUUCGACUCUAAUUGGGUUUGAUAUGAUCGAGUCCGAUUAUAAGGAAAAUUUGAUCCUGAUUCGAUCAGAAUUUUGACUUGACUAAUUUCUAAUUGGGUUAGAAAUUUGAUGAGAUAUCAAGAUUUUUAAUUAGAUUAGGUUCAUUUCUAUCAGUGGGGUCAAUCCAAAUUUGAUUUGAAUUAGAAUCAGAAUUGAAAAUGAAGAGUCCUUAUCAACUUGGACUCUAUCCUUAUCUCUUGCACCACUCCUGAACCCAUGCCAAUUUCUCCAUGCCUAAUUAGAUCUGAGUUGUGAUUUUUGGUAUCAUGAUAGAAGGUCUAAUAAGAGUGGACAGUAAUAUUUGAUGUGUCAUAAUCUUAUCUCCUGCCUAAUUCGAAUGCAAUCCGAAUUAGAGAUAAGAUGUAAACUAGAAAAGAGAUUUUUCAUACAUAAAAUAUUGUUAGUGUCAUAUUAUUUUUUUAUUUUUUUUGGAGAAUUCUUUGAUGUGUGAGACUUUAGAAUCCUUCUCCAUAUCCUAAUAAUUUUUUAAAAUUUUUUGAGAUGCCAAAAGGUAGUUUUGGCAUGGACUAUUGGCACCCUUUCUUAGAAAAACCCUAAUUCCUAGUCUAUAAAAAGGAGUCCUCUCUCUUGGACGUCCCAUGAUCAAUUCUCUUACUAUUUUUUAAUUUUUUAGAGCUCUUCUCCUCCUCUACUCUUCUUUAUCUAGAUCUCUUAUUGCUUUAGAGUGUCCAAGGUGCUUGAAAAAGAAGAAAAAGAUCAGCUGUUGAAGUUGCUUGCAGGCUAGCACCUUCAAGCCCCUGAUCUAUGCCAGUCUUUGCGUGGAUUUUUUUAUAGAGGCUAGAUGACUUUGUAUGGCUGUGAGUGACUUGAGGAAUACCUUCUUCAAUUGUUAGACCAAAGAUAAUUAACAUCAAAUUGAUUUGGUAUUAAUCUCUAACUUAUUUUGAUCAUACCGAUAGAUCUAAUAGUUAGAUCUAGGAUUUCAGUAUCGAUGAGAUCGAUGUGUAUUUUUAUUUUUUAGAUCUAAAGUGUAUAUUUUUCAUAUUAUAGAUUAUGAUAUGGUAGUCUAAGAUUAGAUUUUAUAUAUAUGAUUAUGAUUAAAUUGUUUAAUCUUUUAUUUUUACUGCAUAAAAUUUUUAAAAUCGUAUGUACUACACUACCGCAUAUUUCUUUCAAUUGAUAUCAGAGCAUGGUUGUUUUGAUAUGAAUUAAUAUGAUUUUAGAUCUAAAUUUUUGAUGUUAUGUCUGAUUAUUUAUAAUUUAGAUUAGAUCUAAAUAAGUUUAUUUUCAUAUCUGAUUAUCUUCUGUUUAGAUUAGAUAAUCUAAGUAGCAAAGUACUUGGAUUGGAUAAUCACCAGGCCAUCCAAUCAUAGGAGCAAGUAGGGUUUCAUGACCCUCUCUUUCCAUUCAAUGGAGUGCUCUUCAUGGCAUGUAGGGGUGCCACUAUGAGGUCCCAUGAAGAAGAAAGCAAAAGAAGAAAGCUUACUUUCUUGCAAGACCCUAGAUCUUGAAACCCUAGGUGUUGUUAUAUGCGAUGCAAGUUGCGAAGAAGUUAGUUACAUCUAAUCUUAUUUAAUCAAAAUUAUUUUAAUUUAAAAUCAUAAAAAAUUAGAUUUGAUCUAAAAGAUUUUAUGAUUUAAUAUAAAAAAUUUACAUAAAAAAAAUUAUUUUAAAAAUUUUAACCAUGUUGAUGCAAAAUUUAAUUGAGAAUUAAGUGUCAAAUUGAUUGGAUCUAGAAUUAUAAUUUGAGAUCUAAUGACGUUGUAUAAAAUAUGGGGAAUGGGUUAGUUCAAAUCAGGUCCUUCUCUUUAAUUGGAUUAGACCUAAGGUUAGAAUCAAAGAAUUGAUUGACCAUGUAGAGUAAUUGAUUAAAUCUAACCAAGUGUUAAAUUAGAUUAAUUAAGAUUUCUCUAAUACAAUAGUUGUAGAUGGUCAAGUUCAUGUCUUUGAUUAGACCAAAGGAUCUUGAUUGUGACUCAGUGGUUGAAUCCAAAUCAUUAGAUUGGUCAAAUCAAAACUAGUUAAUCAAUUAGUGUCUAAGAUAAGUUUGAUAUUUCGACUAAUGGUUUUUAAUUGGGAGCGGCUUAUUUAGCCAUUUCGAUGGUCUCUAAGGCAAGCUUAGCAAACUCUCCCAUCGAUCUCACUUACCUGACCAAUUUGGUGAAUUAGAUUUUGAUUAGAUCGCUAAGUAAUUCGAGUUAGCCCAUGCCAUUAAGGUUAAUCAGUGUGAUUGAUCUAGGUGCUAGUUUAAUCAGCAUGACCUAAUCCGAUUCAGUGACUUGGUGAAGUCAGUGGGAGGAUUGUGGUCUACUGAUUGAUCUUUUCUUCUCUUCUCUCUUCUCAAAACUAAUUAAAUCUUCUAAAUUAUUAGGUCCCUAAAAUGAGCUAGUUAUGAUGAUAACUAGAUCAUAGCCUUAAAUUAAGGUGAGUGAUAAUGGGUCUGUUAUUUCUGAUUGACAUUGCAGGUGCCAUCCGUCAGGUUUUUUUUUUGAAUAAUAGAAUUAUCAUUCAUCAUAUGAUGACUCUGUUAAACUAUCUGAUGAUAGUUAGAUUGAUCGAGCCAUCUUUAGGUAUGAUCACUUAUUAGGUAGAAUCACUGAGUAGGCUUAUGUUAAUAGUUUGACCUAACCAAAACUUUCAAUGGAGGCCCAUCGCCUAUUGAAAUAAAAUCUGGGGCUAAAUUAAUUACUAGAAGUUGUUUGAAGAAAUAAUUGAUUGAGAAUCUAUCCAUAGGUGUAUAUGGGUUGACCGAGCUAUCCUCGGGCCUGUAUGUAGUCUAUAUGGAUUCUAGUACACGCUAAAAAAUUAAGGUAAUUCUUCGAAUUGAAGGUAGAGGCUAUCAAUUUGUAUAAAAUAGUGGAAGGACCUUUAGACUAAAGUCUAAGUCUUUAGAAUUAAUAAAUUUAUAUACUAAUUAGGCUUUGUAUUUUUCUUGUGUGUGUAGAUAUGGCCUCAAACUUGUCGCUCCGAUCACUGUUGGACAGUAAGAAUCUAAUCAGAUCGAAUUUUGAUAAUUGAUAUCGAAAGCUAAAGAUAGUCCUGGAGCACGAGCGGAUCCUUUAUAUGAUAACGGAUCCAGCACAUGAGGAGUCUUCUCCCAACGCCUGAGGUGUGGUCCGAGAUAUUUCUUUGAAGUGGCUCAACAAUCACACUACGAUUCGUUGCAUUAUGCGAGCCUCCAUGAAUGACUAGUUUAGUUGAAAAUUUGAAGAGGCUCAACCAGAAAAAAUGCUUCAAGUGUUGUGGGAUUUUUUUGGUACUCCUGAUAACGUUGAGUGGUACAAGACUAGUUGUGUCAUUUUUAACACCUGGAUGAGGGAGGGUGCAUCAGUUACCGAUCAUGUAUUAUAUAUGAUAGAACAUAUUGAAAAAUUAAGCAAACUUGGUUUUCUCUUGCACGAACAGCUGGGAAAAGAUGCGAUCCUAAAUUUUCUAUCCAAAUCCUACCUAUCCUUUCUCAAUCAUUUUAGAAUGACGAAGCCUGUAGUCAACUACCACGGUCUGUUGGGGUUGCUACAGACUUUUGAGAAAGAUCACCAUCUCCACAAGGAGAUGAUGAAUCUAGUUAGAGGAUCUUCUUUAGAUAGUCAUCGUCCCUUUAAGAAAGAAAAAAAAGAAAAAGAAGGUAUCAGGUGCUGGGAGUCAGAUCCAAAAACUCAAGUUAAAGGCUGAUCAAAGUCAGGCAGAGUGCUUCUUUUAUAAAAAGUAGGGUCACUAAAAGAGAAACUGUCCUCAGUAUAAAGCUUCUCUUGAUCCGAAUAGGCCAAAGAAGAAGCAGUAAUCGAUUGCUGAACAAAGUACUUAUGUGAUAAUACCUUGUAACUUCUCUCUUAUUGAUAUAAUGAUCUGGGUAUUGGAUAUCGGAAGCUCUAUUCAUAUUUACAAUUCAUUAUAGGAUCUUUAAGUCAAUAGGAGAUUUGGAGAAGGUGGGAGAUUCCUGAAUGUUGGAGAUGGAAGAUCGGUUCCAGUUCUAGUUUUAGAAAUCAUCAAGCUUGUAUUCGAAUCUUAGUACAUUGUUCUUGAUGAGUGUCAUUACUAUCCUAGUUUUCUUUUGAAUGUUAUUUCUGUAGGCCUUUUGGCCAAAUUUAAUUACGAAAUAUCAGAAAGAAAAUCUUUUGUGAUAUCAUUUUUAAUGGUGUUACAAUUUUACGUGGACAGUUGAACAAUAGUAUCUAUGUUGUAUCUAGGCCUAAUGUAAUAUACAUUUCAAAUAAAUGCCCUAAAAUAGAUGAUGUCACAGAUGCCUAUAUUUGGCAUUGUAGGCUAGGUCAUAUCAAUAAAAAUAGGAUAAACAGAUUAGCUCAAAAAAAAAUUUUUGAUAAAGGUGAUUAUGAAUCAUUACCUAUCUGUGAGUCUUGUUUGCUCGAAAAGAUGAUCAAGUCACAUUUUACUGAAAAAAGGGAACGAGCUAGUGAUGUGCUGGGUCUGAUACAUACUGAUAUAUGUGGACCCAUGAGCACAUAUGUCAAAGGAGGGUAUAGCUAUUUCAUUACAUUCACUGACGACCUAUCUAGGUAUGGGUACGUCUACUUGAUAAAACACACGUUUGAAUCAUUUAAAAUAUUCAAAUGGUUCCGUAAUUAAGUAGAGAAACAAACGAAAAAAAUAUUAAAACUCUUCGGUCUGAUCGAGGGGGUGAAUACCUCUCCAGUAAAUUUCUGACAUAUCUAAGAGAGAAUGAGAUUCUCUCCCAAUGGACUCCUCUAGGGACACCAUAGCAUAAUGGCAUCUCAGAAAGGAGGAAUCGAACCUUGUUGGACAUAAUUCGAUCCAUGAUGGGGUUUGCAACUCUGUCAAUUUUUUUUUGAGGAUAUACACUUGAAACAACCUAUCUUGUGCUCAAUAAUAUUUUUAGUAAGUUAGUUAGUAAGAUACUAUAUGAGAUAUGGUCAGGAUGUAGGCCGAACCUCUGUUAUUUCAGGGUCUGGGGGUGUCCGGCUUAUGUUAAAUGAUUACAAACUGACAAGCUCAGCUCUAGAUCUGAUAAAUAUAAUUUUAUAGGGUACCUCAAGAAAAUGAAGAGAUAUUACUUUUACCUGCCUGCUAAGUAAAAGAUAUUUGUCAGCAGUAAGACACACUUUUUAGAAAAAAAAUUUCUUAAUGAAGGAAUAAGUGCCUCUAAAAUCGAGCUUGACAAAGUUCGACAGAUAGA
rnacentral:lncRNA from 1 species